GACAGAGGGUGCAACCGUUGUUCGGAAUUACUGGGCGUAAAGCGCGUGUAGGCGGCUAUGCAAGUCGGGCGUGAAAUCCCACGGCUCAACCGUGGAAGUGCACUCGAAACUGCGUAGCUAGAGUCCCGGAGAGGAAGGUGGAAUACUUGGUGUAGAGGUGAAAUUCGUAGAUAUCAAGUGGAACACCGGUGGCGAAGGCGGCCUUCUGGACGGUGACUGACGCUGAGACGCGAAAGCGUGGGGAGCAAACAGG
rnacentral:rRNA from 1 species